UGAGCUUGUAGUCCGCGGGUUCCCGUGAC
rnacentral:piRNA from 1 species